rnacentral:miRNA from 1 species
GCAUAGGCAAACUCCAGCCCUCCAGAUGUUUGGGACUACAAUUGAUGGAAAUUGUAGUCCCAAACAUCUGGAGGGCCGGAGUUUGCCUAUGC